GAGGGUAUAGUUCAGUGGUAGAGUGUGUGCUUAGCAUGCACAAGGUCCUAGGUUCAAUUCCUAGUAACUCCU
rnacentral:tRNA from 1 species